CCCUGCGGCCUGGCGGGGGCCGCGGGCGCCGUGUGCGCUGGCGGGGCUGGGGUGGGGUGGCGGAGCCGCUGGCCGAGGCGGCCCUGAGGCCCUUGCCCGGCGCUCGGGCUCCUGCGCGGCACGGCCCACGGGUGGGUGCGGACGUGGUAGUGGGUGUGAGGGCGAGACUCGGGCUGCUGCUGCUCGGGUCGAAUAGCAGCACAUCAUCCUCAUUUCUUACCCCAAAAAUCUGGCGAUUUGGUGGGCUGCGUUUCAGCUUACUGAGCAGGAUUUAACUGAAUUUAUGAAUUAGAACCGCAAUAUCGUUUUGUUUUGGUUGGUUGGGAGUUUUUUGUUUGUUUUUAAAGAAUGAUUUAUUUAGGAAUUAAGUACCCUGAAAAAACAACAGUGUGUGCCUACAGGGGAACCACAGCAGAGGUGCCGUUAACUGCUGACACAGGCAUUAAUAGAAGUGCUUGCAAUAAGGCUCUUCAGAAGCAAUGCCCAGGUGAAAGCAAUAGGACACUGUACAGCCUGUGGAAAGGAUCCCAGCAGUCCAAGCCUAUCUCCUGGGCCCACCAUCUCCAGCCAACAACAGGCAAAGUAUUUGCUCCCUGAAAGCCAUUUUGCCUUUCCUAAUUCUUAGGGAAGUCUUCAUUGCGCAGGAGGAUGAACGUCAGUUCUUCGCAAGUAUCGUCUCAGAAUAGCAGCCAGAGCUGCAGAAACGAGACCAUCAAAACCUUGCAGUGGAUGUUUUCCAGUUUGGAGAGGCGAGUCAAGCAGUACAGUACCACGUGGGGGUUGUACAUGGAGGAAAAGUAAGAUGGCUCCUGCAUGUAAGGCAUUACACAGGUCAUAAUGAUUUAGGUACUGAUGUGCUACUGUCAACUGCAAGUGACAGGACAGUGUUGGCCUUUCCAGAGUAGGUUGCAGUCGAUGAAGUGAAGGUUUGGGGGACGGCUUUGAACAAUAUUUCACAAGGGUGUUUGGCCCUAACCUAAUGCAAAAUAGACUCCCCAAGUCAGAGGUGAGGAGCUUCAGCAUGAAACAUUUCAGUCUGCUAGUCCGUUUCUUUUGCACCAAAUUAAUUACUAGUGUAGAUGGUCCCACUACCUUGGGAACUCCAGAACUUCCUGGGCUGUGGCAUCUUCCUAGUAAGUGCAGAGACUGAAGACCUUACUGAAAAUCCGUCUGGAAGCACAGGGAUGAGGGAUAGUGCAAGUCUGAGGGGGAAAAAAAGCUCAUGCUCUUGCUGUAGGGAUCAUUCUGAGAGAAAGAGACUAGCUGCAGCCACCAUUUUAUCACAAUGGAGAACAUGGGCAGUGCAGGAUGCAUUGCUGUGUGAAACGGCAGCUGAAGACCACCAAAAUAAUUUGGAGCAGACUUGGUGACACAAACUGUGUACUGUGACUACUGAUUCCAACAGGAGUGAAAACAUCAGAGGUGUUCAGCUGUGUUCAAGGAUUGCGUUGGUCUGAUUUACAGCAGAGUAAACCAUCCAGAGACAGGUCUUUGGAAGAAUGUUUCUUUGCAAUGUAAGAAUUGUAGUUCCAUGUUCUGUUUUCUAUA